rnacentral:rRNA from 1 species
UACAGAGGGUGCGAGCGUUAAUCGGAAUUACUGGGCGUAAAGGGUGUGUAGGUGGUAAUAUAAGUCAGGUGUGAAAUACCGUAGCUCAACUACGGAAUUGCGCUUGAUACUGUAUAACUAGAGUCUUGUAGAGGAUAGUGGAAUUUCCGGUGUAGCGGUGAAAUGCGUAGAUAUCGGAAGGAACAUCAGAGGCGAAGGCGGCUAUCUGGCCAAAGACUGACACUGAGACACGAAAGCGUGGGGAGCAAACAGG